AUGCCUUAAACUUAUGAGUAAGGAAAAUAACAAGUCGGGGUACCACCCAAAUCCUCACUGCUAAUGUUAGAUGAAUUUGUGAGUGGAUACGGGCUGCCCCUAAGGUGAUCCACCUACUUGGUAGGAUGCCCGGGAGUCAUGAUCUGCCCA
rnacentral:snRNA from 2 species